AAAGGAACCUAGCUUCCCGUUUAUGAGAGUUAUGGCGAUUUGUGAAUUUGUAUGUGCUUUGUUAUUAAAACGUUUUAUGCAAAAUUAAGGUCGUUUCGGGGAAUCACGGACACUGUGUUCGGCAUUACCAGACAUGCGACUAAGCGCCGGAAACAAAAGUCUGAGAUUCUUACAUCUACACCUUUUAAGGCUACGUUAGAAGAGAAACAAAGAAAAA